rnacentral:rRNA from 1 species
AACGAACGCUGGCGGCAGGCCUAACACAUGCAAGUCGAACGGGCGUAGCAAUACGUCAGUGGCAGACGGGUGAGUAACGCGUGGGAACGUACCCUUCGGUUCGGAAUAACCCGGGGAAACUCGGGCUAAUACCGGAUACGUCCGCAAGGAGAAAGAUUUAUCGCUGAAGGAUCGGCCCGCGUCGGAUUAGCUAGUUGGUGGGGUAAUGGCCCACCAAGGCGACGAUCCGUAGCUGGUCUGAGAGGAUGAUCAGCCACACUGGGUCUGAGACACGGCCCAGACUCCUACGGGAGGCAGCAGUGGGGAAUAUUGGACAAUGGGCGAAAGCCUGAUCCAGCCAUGCCGCGUGAGUGAAGAAGGCCUUAGGGUUGUAAAGCUCUUUCAGCGGGGAAGAUAAUGACGGUACCCGCAGAAGAAGCCCCGGCUAACUUCGUGCCAGCAGCCGCGGUAAUACGAAGGGGGCUAGCGUUGCUCGGAUUUACUGGACGUAAAGCGCGCGUAGGCGGACGUCUAAGUC